ACAGGGGAGCUGGGUAUUCCCGGCUGAGAUAGGGCUAAUCGACGCCCUGACCCUUGAACCUGAUGCGGGUAAUGCCGACGUAGGGAAGCUCUUU
rnacentral:ncRNA from 1 species